rnacentral:rRNA from 1 species
AUUGAACGCUGGCGGCAUGCUUUACACAUGCAAGUCGAACGGCAGCGCGGGCUUCGGCCUGGCUGCGAGUGGCGAACGGGCGAGUAAUGCAUCGGAACGUGCCCAGCAGCGGGGGAUAGCCCGGCGAAAGCCGGAUUAAUACCGCAUACGACCUGAGGGUGAAAGCGGGGGACCGAAAGGCCUCGCGCCAUUGGAGCGGCCGAUGUCGGAUUAGCUAGUUGGUGGGGUAAAGGCUUACCAAGGCGACGAUCCGUAGCUGGUCUGAGAGGACGACCAGCCACACUGGAACUGAGACACGGCCCAGACUCCUACGGGAGGCAGCAGUGGGGAAUUUUGGACAAUGGGGGCAAGCCUGAUCCAGCCAUGCCGCGUGCGGGAAGAAGGCCUUCGGGUUGUAAAGCGCUUUUGUUCGGGAAGAAAACCUCUGGGCUAAUACCCCGGGGGGAUGACGGUACCGGAAGAAUAAGCACCGGCUAACUACGUG